ACAGACAGGUAGAGAGACUGUGCUCCGAGAGGUGGAAGGUGAGACAGGCACUCAGACAGACAGGUAGAGAGACUGUGCUCCGAGAGGUGGAAGGUGAGACAGGCACUCAGACAGACAGGUAGAGAGACUGUGCUCCGAGAGGUGGAAGGUGAGACAGGCACUCAGACAGACAGGUAGAGAGACUGUGCUCCGAGAGGUGGAAGGUGAGACAGGCUCUCAGACAGACAGGUAGAGAGACUGUGCUCCAAGACGUGGAAGGUGAGACAGGCACUCAGACAGACAGGUAGAGAGACUGUGCUCCGAGACGUGGAAGGUGAGACGGGCACUCAGACAGACAGGUAGAGAGACUGUGCUCCGAGAGGUGGAAGGUGAGACAGGCUCUCAGACAGACAGGUAGAGAGACUGUGCUCCGAGAGGUGGAAGGUGAGACAGGCACUCAGACAGACAGGUAGAGAGUGCUCCGAGAGGUGGAAGGUGAGACGGGCUCUCAGACAGACAGGUAGAGAGUGCUCCGAGAGGUGGAAGGUGAGACGGGCACUCAGACAGACAGGUAGAGAGACUGUGCUCCGAGAGGUGGAAGGUGAGACAGGCACUCAGACAGACGGGUAGAGAGACUGUGCUCCGAGAGGUGGAAGGUGAGACAGGCACUCAGACAGACGGGUAGAGAGACUGUGCUCCGAGAGGUGGAAGGUGAGACAGGCACUCAGACAGACAGGUAGAGAGACUGUGCUCCGAGAGGUGGAAGGUGAGACGGGCACUCAGACAGACAGGUAGAGAGACUGUG